rnacentral:rRNA from 1 species
CUUCCGCAAUGGACGAAAGUCUGACGGAGCACGCCGCGUGAGUGAUGAAGGUUUUCGGAUCGUAAAACUCUGUUGUUAGGGAAGAACAAGUACCGUUCGAAUAGGGCGGUACCUUGACGGUACCUAACCAGAAAGCCACGGCUAACUACGUGCCAGCAGCCGCGGUAAUACGUAGGUGGCAAGCGUUGUCCGGAAUUAUUGGGCGUAAAGCGCGCGCAGGCGGUUUCUUAAGUCUGAUGUGAAAGCCCCCGGCUCAACCGGGGAGGGUCAUUGGAAACUGGGGAACUUGAGUGCAGAAGAGGAGAGUGGAAUUCCACGUGUAGCGGUGAAAUGCGUAGAGAUGUGGAGGAACACCAGUGGCGAAGGCGACUCUCUGGUCUGUAACUGACGCUGAGGCGCGAAAGCGUGGGGAGCGAACAGGAUUAGAUACCCUGGUAGUCCACGCCGUAAACGAUGAGUGCUAAGUGUUAGAGGGUUUCCGCCCUUUAGUGCUGCAGCAAACGCAUUAAGCACUCCGCCUGGGGAGUACGGUCGCAAGACUGAAACUCAAAGGAAUUGACGGGGGCCCGCACAAGCGGUGGAGCAUGUGGUUUAAUUCGAAGCAACGCGAA